rnacentral:tRNA from 1 species
GGGCGGUUAGCUCAGCUGGUCAGAGCGCUUCGUUUACACCGAAGAUGCCACAGGUUCGAAUCCUGUACCGCCCACCA